CCUACGGGGGGCAGCAGUGAGGAAUAUUGGUCAAUGGACGAGAGUCUGAACCAGCCAAGUAGCGUGAAGGAUGACUGCCCUAUGGGUUGUAAACUUCUUUUAUAUGGGAAUAAAAUGUUCCACGUGUGGGAUUUUGUAUGUACCAUAUGAAUAAGGAUCGGCUAACUCCGUGCCAGCAGCCGCGGUAAUACGGAGGAUCCGAGCGUUAUCCGGAUUUAUUGGGUUUAAAGGGAGCGUAGGUGGAUUGUUAAGUCAGUUGUGAAAGUUUGCGGCUCAACCGUAAAAUUGCAGUUGAAACUGGCAGUCUUGAGUACAGUAGAGGUGGGCGGAAUGCGUGGUGUAGCGGUGAAAUGCUUAGAUAUCACGAAGAACUCCGAGUGCGAAGGCAGUUCACUGGACUGCAACUGACACUGAGGCUCGAAAGUGUGGGUAUCAAACAGGAUUAGAUACCCUAGUAGUC
rnacentral:rRNA from 1 species